CACGUAGUUAGCCGGUGCUUUUUCUGCAGGUACCGUCACUUUCGCUUCUUCCCUACUAAAAGAGGUUUACAACCCGAAGGCCGUCAUCCCUCACGCGGCGUUGCUGCAUCAGGCUUUCGCCCAUUGUGCAAUAUUCCCCACUGCUGCCUCCCGUAGGAGUCUCGGGCCGUGUCUCAGUCCCAGUGUGGCCGGUCACCCUCUCAGGCCGGCUACCCGUCGUCGCCUUGGUGAGCCAUUACCUCACCAACAAGCUGAUAGGCCGCGAGUCCAUCCCCAACCAAAAAAUCUUUCCACCACCAGACCAUGUCGGCCGGCAGUCAUAUCCAGUACUUAGACGUCGUUUCCAACGCUUAUCCCAGAGUCAGGGGCAGGUUACUCACGUGUUACUCACCCGUUCGCCACUAAUCCACCCAGCAAGCUAGGGCACCAUCGUUCGACUUGCAUGUGUUAAGCACGUCCGCCAGCGUUCGUCCUGUACGCCACGGAUCGAACUCU
rnacentral:rRNA from 1 species